rnacentral:tRNA from 1 species
UUAAUUGAAGCCAAAUAGAGGCCUUUCAUUGUUAAUGAAAAAAGUGGUUAUUAAUUAAACCCAAUUAAA